AUUGAACGCUGGCGGCAGGCCUAACACAUGCAAGUAGAACGAGUGGCGGAAGGGUGAGUAAUGGCUGGGCAACUGCCCGAUGGAGGGGGAUAACUACUGGAAACGGUAGAUAAUACCGCAUAUCAUCGGAUGUGCCCCGAGGGGAUUAGCUAGUCGGUGGGGUAAAGGCUAACAUAGGCGGAGAUCCCUAGCUGGUCUGAGAGGAUGAACGGCCACACUGGAACUGAGACACGGCCCAGACUCCUACGGGAGGCAGCAGUGGGGAAUAUUGCACAAUGGGCGCAAGCCUGAUGCAGCCAUGCCGCGUGUAUGAAGAAGGCCUUCGGGUUGUAAAGUACUUUCAGCGGGGAGGCGUUACCCGCAGAAGAAGCACCGGCUAACUCCGUGCCAGCAGCCGCGGUAAUAC
rnacentral:rRNA from 1 species